AUCUUAAGGAAAGCAGAGGUUUUAAAAUCUUUGGAUCAAAAAAAAUUAUCUCUAAACUGGGAAAGACUCUAUAGGGUGAUCGAAAUCUUUCAUCUGGACGUAUACCGACUAGAGACUCUCGAUAGAAUGACUAUUCUUGAGACAUGAAAUGCAGAUAAUCUGAAAAUAUAUUAUCAAUGAAGUUGUCCACAUGUACAAGAUAUUUGAAAUGAAA
rnacentral:lncRNA from 1 species